AGUGAACGCUGGCGGUAGGCCUAACACAUGCAAGUCGAACGGCAGCACAGUAAGAGCUUGCUCUUACGGGUGGCGAGUGGCGGACGGGUGAGGAAUACAUCGGAAUCUACUUUUUCGUGGGGGAUAACGUAGGGAAACUUACGCUAAUACCGCAUACGACCUACGGGUGAAAGCAGGGGAUCUUCGGACCUUGCGCGUUUGAAUGAGCCGAUGUCGGAUUAGCUAGUUGGCGGGGUAAAGGCCCACCAAGGCGACGAUCCGUAGCUGGUCUGAGAGGAUGAUCAGCCACACUGGAACUGAGACACGGUCCAGACUCCUACGGGAGGCAGCAGUGGGGAAUAUUGGACAAUGGGCGCAAGCCUGAUCCAGCCAUACCGCGUGGGUGAAGAAGGCCUUCGGGUUGUAAAGCCCUUUUGUUGGGAAAGAAAAGCAGCAGGUGAAUACCCCGCUGUUCUGACGGUACCCAAAGAAUAAGCACCGGCUAACUUCGUG
rnacentral:rRNA from 1 species